rnacentral:rRNA from 1 species
UGGGCGUCUCUCAGUCGACGAUUCUACGGGAGGCAGCAGUGGGGAAUCUUAGACAAUGGGCGCAAGCCUGAUCUAGCCAUGCCGCGUGAGUGAUGAAGGCCUUAGGGUCGUAAAGCUCUUUCGCCAGGGAUGAUAAUGACAGUACCUGGUAAAGAAACCCCGGCUAACUCCGUGCCAGCAGCCGCGGUAAUACGGAGGGGGUUAGCGUUGUUCGGAAUUACUGGGCGUAAAGCGCGCGUAGGCGGAUUAGUCAGUUAGAGGUGAAAUCCCAGGGCUCAACCCUGGAACUGCCUUUAAUACUGCUAGUCUUGAGUUCGAGAGAGGUGAGUGGAAUUCCGAGUGUAGAGGUGAAAUUCGUAGAUAUUCGGAGGAACACCAGUGGCGAAGGCGGCUCACUGGCUCGAUACUGACGCUGAGGUGCGAAAGUGUGGGGAGCAAACAGGAUUAGAUACCCUGGUAGUCCACACCGUAAACGAUGAAUGCCAGUCGUCGGGUAGUAUACUAUUCGGUGACACACCUAACGGAUUAAGCAUUCCGCCUGGGGAGUACGGUCGCAAGAUUAAAACUCAAAUGAAUUGACGG